GAUGAACGCUGGCGGCGUGCCUAAUACAUGCAAGUCGAGCGAACAGACGAGGAGCUUGCUCCUCUGACGUUAGCGGCGGACGGGUGAGUAACACGUGGAUAACCUACCUAUAAGACUGGGAUAACUUCGGGAAACCGGAGCUAAUACCGGAUAAUAUAUUGAACCGCAUGGUUCAAUAGUGAAAGACGGUUUUGCUGUCACUUAUAGAUGGAUCCGCGCCGCAUUAGCUAGUUGGUAAGGUAACGGCUUACCAAGGCAACGAUGCGUAGCCGACCUGAGAGGGUGAUCGGCCACACUGGAACUGAGACACGAUCCAGACUCCUACGGGAGGCAGCAGUAGGGAAUCUUCCGCAAUGGGCGAAAGCCUGACGGAGCAACGCCGCGUGAGUGAUGAAGGUCUUCGGAUCGUAAAACUCUGUUAUUAGGGAGGAACAAAUGUGUAAGUAACUAUGCACGUCUUGACGGUACCUAAUCAGAAAGCCACGGCUAACUACGUG
rnacentral:rRNA from 1 species